GUUUUCACUUUGGCAGCACGUAUACUAAAACUGGAACAAUAUAGAGAAGAUUAGCACAGCCCCUGCACAAGGAUGACGUGCAAACUCGUGAAGUGUUCCAUAUUUUC
ensembl:snRNA U6 U6 spliceosomal RNA